rnacentral:rRNA from 1 species
GAUGAACGCUGGCGGCGUGCCUAAUACAUGCAAGUCGAGCGAACGGACGAGAAGCUUGCCUCUCUGAUGUUAGCGGCGGACGGGUGAGUAACACGUGGAUAACCUACCUAUAAGACUGGGAUAACUUCGGGAAACCGGAGCUAAUACCGGAUAAUAUUUUGAACCGCAUGGUUCAAAAGUGAAAGACGGUCUUGCUGUCACUUAUAGAUGGAUCCGCGCUGCAUUAGCUAGUUGGUAAGGUAACGGCUUACCAAGGCAACGAUGCAUAGCCGACCUGAGAGGGGGAACGGCCAAACGGGAACGAGGAAACGGACCAGCACCCAAGGGGGGGCAGCAGUGGGGAAUCUCCCGAAAGGGGGGAAAGCGUGACGGAGAAACGCCGGGGGAGUGAGAAAGGGUUUCGGACCGUAAAACUUUGUUAUUGGGGAAAAAAAAUUGGGAAAGUAACUGUGCAAAUUUGGACGGUACUAAAGCAGAAAGCCACGGAAAACUACGG